GUAUAAUAUUAUUUAAUGAUGUACUCCAUGACUGAAAGUUGGCUAGAAAAAUUCACUGUCCAGCUAUAAUGUUUUUGGACGAAAACCUCAGUCCAGAUCGAUUAACAAUAAGUAUAAUUCACAGAGAUAUAUCAAAAUUAACUGAACUGUUCCUUAUCGUUUCAAUCUAGAAAACCUGUUUGGCGGAAAACAGCAUUGCGAACUCGACAAAGAUCUCUCCCUUUGAGUGUUCUUCCCACGCCUUCAAGCACCGAAAACGUGGUUUUAAGUGAUCUAGCUGAUCCUCUGGCAACGAUCUCAUGCGGAGGAAGCAUCUCAUCAUCGCCGUCAUCAUCAUCGAUUUCUACGUCAGCAAGGUCACUUCUCGGUGCCUUCUUCGGCAUCAUCGGCACGUUCACUGGCACUGAGUGUUGGAACUUCCUCACCGGCAUAGUUUGUGAAUAGUUACGGUUAUAGCUAUGUUCUCUAUCCAAUGGAGGCUUGGGAAUCGUAGGAAACCCUCGAGAAAAAGCCAUCGCUGAUGCAACCGGCGGUGAAUGAAACAGUUUUGUACUAGUAGGUGAGGAAGUUAUCGAAGGUUUCCGAUAAACAACAGGACGGUUAAGUUUCCGGUGAUCCUCAGGCAAUGCAGCGAGAAUACCGAAUUUCUCCGGCUGAAGGAAAGUUUUCCGACUACUGAUUGAAGAAGGAGAAGUAGAGCGGCGCUUAGGUUCAGUGAAGUCUCCUGUCCAGAAAACUUCAUCUUCGUUCAGCUCAUCAUCAGCGAUGGAUACAUCUGCAUCGCCGAUAGCACUAUCACUCUGUGGUGGAGAGAAUACGCCGAGAAAUCGAUCGGAGGACGGCGAUCGCCGGUGGUGAAAGCUAACGACGCCG
rnacentral:misc_RNA from 1 species